rnacentral:lncRNA from 1 species
AAAGUUAAAAAAAGGUAGAUUACAAUGGUAAAUCCAAGCUAGUAACAUAGAGUCAAAUGUAACAAAGAGUCAAAGUCUUAAAGACCAUAAUUCAUAAGCUAAUUAAGAAAUUAAUUAUUUUAUAUUACUCAAAGAUGAAGCAAAAAUGUAUAAAAAAAUUAUACAAGAAUGGUGAAGCAAUGUUAUUUGAAGAACUGCGGAUGAAUUUGACAUUUUGCUUGACAAUGAAAAGGAUGAAACAAAGAAUAGGAAGAACUAACUUCAGGUCAACAAAGGUAUCAGACGCAGGCGCACAACAAAAUCGAUCGACAAUGAAAUUGUAUUGUAGAACCGAUCGAGAUAUGUAGAUAUAUUUAGAUACGAUAAUUGGGGAAAAGAUAAUGAAAAUCAGUAGAUUUUUUUUUAUUUCAAACGCGUAAAGAUAACAGGAGGAUAUAAAAUUGAAUAUAGAUUCUUGAUAUGCUGGGAAAGAAUUAGAAAUCAAUCAACUACAGAAUUAAAAUAUGAUUAUGGAAAUCCGAUUCCAUUCAAUUGGUAAGCCAAACACGAUGACUACGGGAUUCUAGUUUCCAUUUCCUUCACUUUCCUUUGGAAUCCCACAAAACAAACGCGCCCUUAAUAAACUAUGAAAUAGGACCAACGUGUUGAAGAUAACAAGAUAUAAUUUUUUAAAUGUAUUUGUAAAAAUUAUAAUAAAAUUCAAACCUUUCUGAAGUCUCUUAAAAGGAAUGAUGGAAGUACUUUUCCCUCUCAGAUUAUCAUCACCCUCUGGGAAAAAAAAUUUACAUAAUCAAUUUAGCUUAGCAACUAAAAGGCACUUUUUAGAAGAACUGUUAAAUAAUCGUCCUUUAUGACUAUUUUUCCCUUCAAUGCAAAGGCUUUUAUAACGAUGAACCGGAAAGUUACCUCACUUGCACCACAACCAUCUUUUGUUGACAUUACAUCAAACACCUGGCAGCCAUCUUUGAUCAACCUGUUCUUACACAAAACAUUUAUCAAUGUUUGUAAGCCUUAAUUCUACAUACAGUUUCCCUAAUCAACCGGAGAACAUAUAUUUACUAAACUGGGAUUCAGAGACUUCAAUCUGCUUUAGCCAAUUUAUCAACAAACCUACAAGAAAAAAAAAUUGUUGUUUGCUCAUGAUGAGAUUAUGAGGAUUUUGUUACAAUUUAACAUGGCUUGUCCUGUUUCUUAGUUUUUAGAUGUUGACAAUUACUCAGAGGGUCCUCUCUCUGGUAAAUAAUUUUGAUGCUUGCCAGAAAUAAGUUGUUAUCUACAUCGACAAAACAGCUUCUUCACCAAAAGGAGAAAUCAUAUACCUUGUUAAAGAUUAAGCUAUCUACAUCGACAAAACAACUUCUCAACCGACCACUACUCACGCCUACGUCAUUUGUGGUAAUCUGGAUGCUUGCCUCCUUAAACUCCCCUCGGUCGUAUAUAAACCUAAUGUCACACUUAGUUUCAGAAACGACGUCGUUUGACUACUAAUGGAUGUUGCUUGCCUGCUUCAGCCUGACCUCACGAUGAGGUAGAAGACUUGGCCAUGGGUUUUCCUUCUUUGCGGUGAUGUUUCUCCCAAAAACUACUUGCCACUCUUGGAUCCAAUCUUACCGCCACCUCUCCUUAAU